UACAGAGGGGGCAAGCGUUAUUCGGAAUUAUUGGGCGUAAAGGGCGCGUAGGCGGCUUUGCAAGUGACGGGUGAAAUCCCUCGGCUUAACCGAGGAACUGCCUGUCAAACUGCAUGGCUUGAGACCGGGAGAGGUGAGUGGAAUUCCCAGUGUAGCGGUGAAAUGCGUAGAUAUUGGGAGGAACACCAGUGGCGAAGGCGGCUCACUGGACCGGUACUGACGCUGAGGCGCGAAAGCGUGGGGAGCAAACAGGG
rnacentral:rRNA from 1 species